CACGUAGGUGGCAUCGUAAGUCAAAGGUGAAAGCCCUCGGCUCAACCGAGGAAUUGCCUUCGAAACUGCUUUGCUUGAGUCCGGGAGGGGGGAGCGGAAUUCCCAGUGUAGCGGUGAAAUGCGUAGAUACUGGGAGGAACACCGGUGGCGAAGGCGGCUCCCUGGACCGGUACUGACACUGAGGUGCGAAAGCGUGGGUAGCAAACA
rnacentral:rRNA from 1 species